UUUUUGUCCUACAUGGGAACUUUAACUCCAUUUGCCUUUUUAUUUUUUAUUUUGGAAGAAUUUUGUGUUUAUUGAUUCAAUCGGUAUAUUGACACCCUUGUUGCUUGUUGAUACUUGUGAUGGCAAGAUGCUCGCCAGCAGGAGCCAGUGCUAGGUGAAAGACGCUAGGCUUUGAAAGAUGCAAGAGCAGGUGCCCAGAGUGGGCGGAAGCACUCCUUGAGGACAAACUCUGAUGCCGAUAAAGGUUAAACCGAGGGCAGAGGGAGACGAUGAGACCAAGAAAAUAGCAAAAUCGGUCCAAACAAUGCACAAACAGUAAACAAAUCGGGUCCCAUGCGAAAGAGAUGGAGCGAACGUUCGUUCUUUAACAAGUCCAAGGAUUUCGUAUGGCAAGCACUGUGUCCCAUGCCGGAUUUCGUAUUGGGCGGCAGCCGGAGCGGCGCCACGCGACGUUCACACCACGGGGAUGGACGCGGCGUCCGUCGGAUACAUCCAUAUUUGUGCUUAUUUAUAUAUAUAAUAUUAUUGUCACAUGUUCAUCUGAUGAGACAAUAACAGGAUUAUUAAAGAACUUGAGUGUUGAGUUUGAUGUAGAUGCUCUUAGGGCAUGUACAAUGGUGGCAUAUGAAUACAUAUGCUCCAUGACAAAAAAUAAUUUGAGCCAUCUAUAUUGUUUUUU